AUUGAACGCUGGCGGCAGGCCUAACACAUGCAAGUCGAGCGAGCGGCGGACGGGUGAGUAAUGUGUGGGAACUGGCCUAUGGAGGGGGAUAACUACUGGAAACUGUAGCUAAUACCGCAUACUCUAGGAUAACCCAUGUGGGAUUAGCUAGUAGGUGAGGUAAAGGCUCACCAAGGCGACGAUCCCUAGCUGGUCUGAGAGGAUGACCAGCCACACUGGGACUGAGACACGGCCCAGACUCCUACGGAGGCAGCAGUGGGGAAUAUUGCACAAUGGGCGCAAGCCUGACGCAGCCAUGCCGCGUGUAUGAAGAAGGCCUUAGGGUUGUAAAGUACUUUCAGUAGGGAGGCGUUACCUACAGAAGAAGCACCGGCUAACUCCGUGCCAGCAGCCGCGGUAAUAC
rnacentral:rRNA from 1 species